AGAGUUUGAUCCUGGCUUAGGAUGAACGCUAGCUACAGGCUUAACACAUGCAAGUCGAGGGGCAGCAUUGGAGUAGCAAUACUUCAGAUGGCGACCGGCGCACGGGUGAGUAACACGUAUCCAACCUGCCGCUUACUCGGGGAUAGCCUUUCGAAAGAAAGAUUAAUACCCGAUGGUAUAAAGAGUUCGCAUGUUCUCUUUAUUAAAGAAUUUCGGUAAGCGAUGGGGAUGCGUUCCAUUAGAUAGUUGGCGGGGUAACGGCCCACCAAGUCUACGAUGGAUAGGGGUUCUGAGAGGAAGGUCCCCCACAUUGGAACUGAGACACGGUCCAAACUCCUACGGGAGGCAGCAGUGAGGAAUAUUGGUCAAUGGACGAGGAGUCUGAACCAGCCAAAGUAGCGUGAAGGAUGACUGCCCUAUGGGUUGUAAACUUCUUUUAUAAGGGAAUAAAGUGAGGGACGUGUCCCUUUUUGUAUGUACCUUAUGAAUAAGGAUCGGCUAACUCCGUGCCAGCCGCCGC
rnacentral:rRNA from 1 species